rnacentral:lncRNA from 1 species
CCCAAAGUCGACCAGUGAGGUGAUUGUGAUUGGGGAAGCGAGGAAGAGGGCACUAUGAGCAGAAAGGAAUGAUCAACCACCGUGAUGGCGGACGGUUGUGGGUAGACCCGGUGUCUACACGUGGAUUUGCUAGACGGGAUAUGACAUGACAUGGUUGUUGUGUGGUGAGGUGCCAUGGGAUAAGACAUGACAUGACACGGGAUAUAACUGACGUCUGGGUGUGUUUGGUUGUCACCGGCAGGGCACUCUGCUAUGUGUGCUGCCACAUAGUCUGAGCUCCCUUGUGUGGCUUAGUGGUUGCAAACUUCUUACAAUGAAUAAGGCCUCACUACAAGGACAUAAAAUAUAUCCAUUUGUGUCGAGAGAAAUCAUCUUUAAAGAUAAUAUAGUAACGAUGGCUCCUUCCGAGGGAAGGGAGCCGGACCACAAACAUUAGAGUGAGCAAGAUCAAAAGGACGCUGAAACAGUCUUGCUAUGAGCAUAGGGUAACUGGUGGAUGUGGAGCUAGGGCUAAAUGGCGUUGAGUACGGAAGUUUGUUCUAGUGCGAGUCAAUAUCAAACUAAAAAAAGACCUUUGAGGUUUUCAUGGUCUGGUGAGCGAAGUAAACCACCCCGAAUAUUUCCUAUGCUAUUCGAGAAGCUGUCGUGUUUUUGUGCAAAUCAAGAUAUGAUUGGCCAUGUUAUAGAACAAUGUGGG